rnacentral:rRNA from 1 species
GACGAACGCUGGCGGCGUGCUUAACACAUGCAAGUCGAACGGAAAGGCCCUGCUUUUGUGGGGUGCUCGAGUGGCGAACGGGUGAGUAACACGUGAGUAACCUGCCCUUGACUUUGGGAUAACUUCAGGAAACUGGGGCUAAUACCGGAUAGGAGCUCCUGCUGCAUGGUGGGGGUUGGAAAGUUUCGGCGGUUGGGGAUGGACUCGCGGCUUAUCAGCUUGUUGGUGGGGUAGUGGCUUACCAAGGCUUUGACGGGUAGCCGGCCUGAGAGGGUGACCGGCCACAUGGGACCGGGGAACGGGCCAGACUCCUACGGGAGGCAGCAGUGGGGAAUAUUGCACAAUGGGCGGAAGCCUGAUGCAGCAACGCCGCGUGCGGGAUGACGGCCUUCGGGUUGUAAACCGCUUUCGCCUGUGACGAAGCGUGAGUGACGGUAAUGGGUAAAGAAGCACCGGCUAACUACGUG